rnacentral:rRNA from 1 species
ACUCAAAGGAAUAGACGGGGGCCCGCACAAGCGGCGGAGCAUGUUGCUUAAUUCGAUGCAACGCGAAGAACCUUACCUAGGUUGAACUACGCUGGAAAAGCCGUAGAGAUACGGUGUUUACCGUCAGCGAUAGGUGGUGCAUGGCUGUCGUCAGCUCGUGUCGUGAGAUGUUGGGUUAAGUCCCGCAACGAGCGCAACCCUUAUUCUAUGUUGCCAGCGGGUAAUGCCGGGGACUCGUAGAAGACUGCCGGGGUCAACUCGGAGGAAGGUGGGGAUGACGUCAAGUCAUCAUGCCCCUUAUGCCUAGGGCUGCAAACAUGCUACAAUGGCUGGUACAAAGGGCUGCUAUCCCGCGAGGGUGAGCGAAUCCCAUAAAGCCAGUCUCAGUUCGGAUUGGAGUCUGCAACUCGACUCCAUGAAGUCGGAGUCGCUAGUAAUCCCGGAUCAGCAAUGCCGGGGUGAAUACGUUCCCGGGCCUUGUACACACCGCCCGU